rnacentral:piRNA from 1 species
UGUCACAGUGCCUUGACAGCUAUCUCUUGU